rnacentral:rRNA from 1 species
GAGUUUGAUCCUGGCUCAGGACCGUAACGACUCGGUCGGCGUGCCUAACACAUCGCAAGUUAGACGCGGAGAUAUCGGAAGAGCUUGCGUCUUUAGUAUUUUAGCAGCGAACGGGUGAGUAACACGUAGAUAAUUUGUCCUAUAUUGGGGGAUAGGCCGAUGAAAAUUGGAUUAAUACCGCAUACAGCUAUUUAACCGCAUGGGGAGAUAGUGAAAGGGGAAACUUGAUAUAGGAGGAGUCUGCGGCACAUUAGCUAGUAGGUGAGGUAAGAGCUUACCUAGGCGACGAUGUGUAGCCGGUCUGAGAGGAUGAACGGCCACAAUGGAACUGAGACACGGUCCAUACU